rnacentral:rRNA from 1 species
UACGGAGGGUGCUAGCGUUGUUCGGAAUUACUGGGCGGAAAGGGCGCGUAGGCGGCCGUUUGCGUCGGAUGUGAAAGCCCGGGGCUCAACCUCGGAACGGCAUUCGAUACGGGACGGCUGGAGACCGGGAGAGGAGAGUGGAAUAGCCAGUGUAGAGGUGAAAUUCGUAGAUAUUGGCUGGAACACCGGUGGCGAAAGCGGCUCUCUGGCCCGGUUCUGACGCUGAGGCGCGAAAGCGUGGGGAGCAAACAGG